rnacentral:rRNA from 1 species
UACGAGUACCCCAAGCGUUAUCCGGAAUCAUUGGGCGUAAAGGGUGUGUAGGCGGUCUGGUUAGUCUUCUGUCAAAAUUUCGGGCUCAACCCGAAACUUGCAGAGGAAACGGCCAAACUUGAGGGUGCGAGAGGUGAAUGGAACUCAUGGAGUAGGGGUGAAAUCCGUUGAUAUCAUGGGGAACACCAAAAGCGAAGGCAAUUCACUGGCGCAUUUCUGACGCUGAAACACGAAAGCGUGAGUAGCGAACGGG